GAUGAACGCUGGCGGCGUGCCUAAUACAUGCAAGUCGAGCGAACGGACGAGAAGCUUGCUUUUCUGAUGUUAGCGGCGGAAGGGUGAGUAACACGUGGAUAACCUACCUAUAAGACUGGGAUAACUUCGGGAAACCGGAGCUAAUACCGGAUAAUAUUUUGAACCGCAUGGUUCAAAAGUGAAAGACGGUCUUGCUGUCACUUAUAGAUGGAUCCGCGCUGCAUUAGCUAGUUGGUAAGGUAACGGCUUACCAAGGCAACGAUGCAUAGCCGACCUGAGAGGGUGAUCGGCCACACUGGAACUGGGACACGGUCCCGACUCCUACGGGGAGCAGCAGUAGGGAAUCUUCCGCAAUGGGCGAAAGUCUGACGGAGCAACGCCGCGUGAGUGAUGAAGGUCUUCGGAUCGUAAAACUCUGUUAUUAGGGAAGAACAUAUGUGUAAGUAACUGUGCACAACUUGACGGUACCUAAUCAGAAAGCCACGGCUAACUACGUG
rnacentral:rRNA from 1 species